UAUAUAUGAUGCCUCCCAUAGGGGGCCUCACAGAGAUUAGCUGCUCGUAGCCGUUGGAUCUUCCCGUCUGGCAAUCUUGUCCGUCCAUUUUUUCACUGGUGGAGUAGUCUAGGACGAGGCCCUCGCGCGAACCCGCUUUUUAUCCAUGGGUCGAUGAAGCCCACCCGGCCCGGCGUUGGCGCGUCGUGCCCUAUCCCAAUCCUCCCCAAUCCAGCAGCCGCCGCCUCUCCCGCUCCCGCAGCCGUCGCUCCCGCUCCCCGCCGUCGGUCUCCUCUCCGGUCCUGCACAUUCUCUCGCGAGUAGCAGCAGCGCCGGCGGCUGAUGCAGGAGAGAGAGAAGGAUGCAUCACCAAGGAUCCAGGCUGAUGCGGAGAGAGAGAGGAGGCGGCGUCGUCAAGGAGCGGCUCGAGAUUGGCAUCCUCUAGACCCAUCUCUGCACCUCAACUCCCAAGCCAAUUUCAGACAGGAGGAUUUUAAGAUUUGCUGGUGAUUGGCCAUCUCCGCUUGGAAAACACUAUUUGAAGAGAGAGGUUAUUUCAUGAAAGCAAAAGCGGGAUGGAGGGGAAGAUUGACCUAUGUGAUAUUCAUUCCCCUCGAUUAAUUUUAUUUUCUGAAAAUUGGCUCAAACUAUCUGACUUACAUGUACACUAUAUUGCCUCUUGAUUUUGUGACUUUUCUAUGCAAGCUAUUAUUGUCUAAACAGAUGCGUUAUUUAUGCUAGGCUUUUUGAGACAAUCGUCGAUGGGAGAAGCUGCUAAUGAAUUCCUUUAUAGUGCUUUGGACGUGAACUCAUGGUGGUGAUUGAUUUCAAAUGAAAAUUUUCAAGCUGAAAUUAAGUACACAAGCAGCUAAAUUUUGUUUCCAUGAUUUUAUUGUACUUCUCUGAUAUUUUUUUUUCAUGAUUGCCGAUUGCAGCUUCGACUGUCAUAAAAAUUACGAUGCUCUUCCCAGGGUUCUUGCAAUCUUCACUUUCAGUACGAAAUACUAUGGUUGCUUGCCAUGCCAAGAAAAUGUAGUUAUGACUUGUGAGGUAAAUUUAAUCUUAGUACAUGCAUGUGCAGGCUUGAGUUGUUAGCCUUCAAAAUUCUUUGAAUAAGAAAAAAACAGGCUCUCCCUGGAGAUAGCUGCAAUUGAGGUACCUUGGGUACAAAAAGCUCAUUUAUUUUCAUUGGCUGGUAUUUCUAAUUUUUUUAAACUUCUACUGCAUAGUAAAAUAAUCAUAUAGGUGCCAUGCUUCUUUACGUUAUUUGUGACCAAAAAUAAUCUAAAUCUAUAUCCUUUAAAGUUCUUUUGGGUACGAAAAGCUCAUUUAUUUUCAUUGGCUGGUAUUUCUAUUUUUUUUAAACUUCUACUGCAUAGUAAAAUAAUCAUAUAGGUGCCAUGCUUCUUUGCGUUAUUUGUGACCAAAAAUAAUCUAAAUCUAUAUCCUUUAAAGUUGUUUUGGGUCAGCCAUAUCUUUGAUUGUAUUACUGCUCACCUUGGUCAAUUUAAUUCCAGCGGUUUGAGAAGGAGAAGGAUCUUCUAAACAAUAGGUGUAGUAAAAAUGGAGUCUACGGUUAAGCUAAACUAAUACCCUUGCUGGGCAUUGACUAGCGGUUUGCUGGGCAUCUAAAUCUAUAUCCUUUAAAGUUGUUUUGGGUCAGCCAUAUCUUUGAUUGUAUUACUGCUCACCUUGGUCAAUUUAAUUCCAGCGGUUUGAGAAGGAGAAGGAUCUUCUAAACAAUAGGUGUAGUAAAAAUGGAGUCUACGGUUAAGCUAAACUAAUACCCUUGCUGGGCAUUGACUAGCUAUGUUGUUGACGAGUAUAACAAAUUUCCAGGGUACAAGAUUCAAGCCGAAAUAUUACAAGAUUCCAGGGCAGUUGUUGCUAGAUUAUAAACUGGUUUUUUCUAGCAAUUUAGAAUAAUUAAAUUAUGGCACCUUGGUAUCUAAUAAACUGCAUGGCUGGGGUGAGUGGAAAAAAUGUGGUAUGUUCAUUUCUUUACCAAGAUUAUACAUGACAUCAUUUACAUGUAGUUUAAGCUGUUGUCAGUUAAUUUUAGUGAUGUUGAUAUCGCAUGAGGCGGAACUUGGAUGCGUAGAUUUGAAUUGGUGCUUGACAGUCCAUGUAGCGAGACAUGGUGAGCAAGCUCUUUUGUAAAAUGCUAUUCUAUGUUUGUGCGUGUCAGGAACUGAGAUCUGUGGGCUGAGCUAUGAAUUGGGUCCCCUCGGUUCGAUGCAACCUCGUGGUAGUUUAGUGUUGAAUUUGCUAUAAUCUUGGGUUAGACAGAUGUGCUAUUUGUUGUGUUUGAUCGGGCAAAUGAUGAUGGCGAAUCUAAAGCUCCAGAAGCAGGCGCUGUUGCGGCCCGGUCUACCGCUUCGGGCAUGGCCACAGCCAUGGGCACCACUAGCGCACAUUGUCUGAGUGUCAUCGAGGAGCAGCCGUUGUGGCUCGAUGACCUACUCAAUGAGCAAUUGUAUUUUGGAAAUUAUCCCCUUAAUAAUACAACUGGGAACAAAUGUCAUCUUCCUUAUUUGUUUUUCCAUAUUGUUUGCUGGAUUAUUUUCUAAUGAAUAUUUUAGAAAUUAUAUCUCGCGGCAUUGUGCUCAUAUCUAUAAAUUUUGUGUCAGGAGCAUACAAGCGAGAUAAGAUCACCUAAUGGCUAAUGCCCUCUAACAACUAAUGGAGAAGCUUACAACCCUUGGAUUUGGAAAAUGACAAGGAGAAGCAGAGCUCAACAGCAGUUGCAGGAACUGAACUUUGUUUUAUAGGGCUUCCUAUCAUUGUUAUGGAAUUUCAUAUGUCUACGAAUUUAAUAGCCUGAAUUUAAUUUAGAAUAGAUAAAAAGGUGGAAGAGGAGGUGUCAUUUAUACGUCACUUAAAGAAAGGAAAGUACCGCAGUUGGAAACUUUUUUCUAUGCCUAGCCUUUAUUCAUUUCCACCAUUCUCCCCUCUUAUCGUCUAGGUUAUGCUUGCAGAAAGUGAAACUUUUGUAUUCAGAACAGAGGAUGGUUAUGCAUGCUCAACAGUCUGUGUUGACACAGCCUUAGUGCAUAUAUCUAUUGGUUUGGAGGUUCUCACAUGUGUUUUUCUUAUCUCCCCUCUCUUGAAACAGUUCAUAUCACACUUCACACCCAAAUAACUUACCGAGUACCAUUAGUAGUAUCAACUUGUGCUCGGGUCCAUCCAACACACAUUGCCGCUCUAGGUUCUGUUCUGUGGAUUACUUAAUUUUUUGUCAGAACAAAUAGAGUGAUGGUCUUUGCUAUAUGUCAGCAUUUCCGUUUGCCUUUUGCAUAGUAUUUUUUUAUGAUGCUCCUCAUUUGUUUACCUAGAUCCUUCUGCCCAAUUAUUAAAUCCCUCGAUUGUUUUUUUGUUCCUUUCAGGGUUAUACCUAGAAUUAAAGACUAAGGAAGCUUGUCUUAAUUGGUGUCAUGGAGAUGUCAUGGAGAGAAUGGCUAUGGCUUCAUGUGAUCAGUUGUGUUCCCUUCAGAUUUGCAUCUUUAGACAGAGCCCUUUUCUGAAGAAAAACAAAUGGUGCAUGGCUUUUCCCAGCAAAGGCCUCUUCCCAGAAUUUUCUCAUUCCUAUGGACCAUCGGUUCAUGGUUGUAGCUUAGUCACCUAGCAAAGUGCUAUCUAAUAGGCAGUUAUGAACUUAUUGCAUUUUGUACUUGUGAGAAUUAGAUUGUGAUUUCUGUCAUGCAAACCUUACCCGUGUAUGCAUUUGGUUCCACUAUACCGCCCAAUGCUUAGUCAGUGUUCAACUUCACGAGAUAAUGACUUUGAACUGGGUAUCAAAUUUACGUAUAUUAGCAUUUUUCACCUAA